GUGAGGAAUAUUGGUCAAUGGGCGGGAGCCUGAACCAGCCAAGUCGCGUGAAGGAAGAAGGAUCUAUGGUUCGUAAACUUCUUUUGCAGGGGAAUAAAGUACGGUACGUGUACCGUUUUGUAUGUACUCUGCGAAUAAGGAUCGGCUAACUCCGUGCCAGCAGCCGCGGUAAUACGGAGGAUCCAAGCGUUAUCCGGAUUUAUUGGGUUUAAAGGGUGCGCAGGCGGGUUGAUAAGUCAGCGGUGAAAGUUUGCAGCUUAACUGUAAAAUUGCCGUUGAAACUGUCGAUCUUGAGUGCAAAUGAGGUAAGCGGAAUGUGUUGUGUAGCGGUGAAAUGCUUAGAUAUAACACAGAACACCGAUUGCGAAGGCAGCUUACUGGGAUGCAACUGACGCUCAUGCACGAAAGCGUGGGGAUCAAACAGGAUUAGAAACCCUUGUAGUCC
rnacentral:rRNA from 1 species